rnacentral:rRNA from 1 species
CUAGUUUGGUGGAGUAUAGCCUACCAAGGCAAUGAUCUAUAGCUGAUCUGAGGGGAUGAUCAGCCACACUGGAACUGAGAUACGGUCCAGACUUCUACGGGAGGCAGCAGUGGGGAAUAUUGGACAAUGGGCGAAAGCCUGAUCCAGCCAUGUCGCAUGAGUGAAGAAGGCCUUUGGGUUGUAAAGCUCUUUUAGUGAGGAAGAUAAUGACGGUACUCACAGAAGAAGUCCUGGCUAACUCCGUGCCAGCAGCCGCGGUAAUACGGAGAGGGCUAGCGUUAUUCGGAAUUAUUGGGCGUAAAGGGCGCGUAGGCUGAUUAAUAAGUUAAAAGUGAAAUCCCGAGGCUUAACCUUGGAAUUGCUUUUAAAACUAUUAAUCUAGAGAUUGAAAGAGGAUAGAGGAAUUCCUGAUGUAGAGGUAAAAUUCGUAAAUAUUAGGAGGAACACCAGUAGCGAAGGCGUCUAUCUGGUUCAAAUCUGACGCUGAGGCGCGAAGGCGUGGGGAGCAAACAGGAUUAGAUACCCUGGUAGUCCACGCUGUAAACGAUGAAUGUUAAAAUAUGGGAAGUUUA